rnacentral:rRNA from 1 species
UAGAGGAAGUAAAAGUCGUAACAAGGUCUCCGUUGGUGAACCAGCGGAGGGAUCAUUACUGAGUUACCGCUCUAUAACCCUUUGUGAACAUACCUACAACUGUUGCUUCGGCGGGUAGGCCGUCCCCUGAAAAGGACGCCUCCCGGCCCGGACCGGACCCCCUGUGGGGCCGGACUCGGCGCCCGCCGGAGGAUAACCAAACGCUAUUUUAACGACGUUUCUUCUGAGUGGCAUAAGCAAAAUAAUCAAAACUUUUAACAACGGAUCUCUUGGUUCUGGCAUCGAUGAAGAACGCAGCGAAAUGCGAUAAGUAAUGUGAAUUGCAGAAUUCAGUGAAUCAUCGAAUCUUUGAACGCACAUUGCGCCCGCCAGCAUUCUGGCGGGCAUGCCUGUUCGAGCGUCAUUUCAACCCUCAAGCUCUGCUUGGUGUUGGGGCUCUACGGUCGACGUAGGCCCUCAAAGGUAGUGGCGGACCCUCCCGGAGCCUCCUUUGCGUAGUAACAUUUCGUCUCGCACUGGGAUCCGGAGGGACUCUUGCCGUAAAACCCCCCAAUUUUNCAAGGNUGACCUCGGAUCAGGUAGGAAUACCCGCUGAACUUAAGCAUAUCAAUAAGCGGAGGAAAAGAAACCAACAGGGAUUGCCCCAGUAACGGCGAGUGAAGCGGCAACAGCUCAAAUUUGAAAUCUGGCCCCAGGCCCGAGUUGUAAUUUGCAGAGGAUGCUUUUGGCGCGGUGCCUUCCGAGUUCCCUGGAACGGGACGCCAUAGAGGGUGAGAGCCCCGUACGGUUGGACACCAAGCCUUUGUAAAGCUCCUUCGACGAGUCGAGUAGUUUGGGAAUGCUGCUCAAAAUGGGAGGUAUAUUUCUUCUAAAGCUAAAUAUUGGCCAGAGACCGAUAGCGCACAAGUAGAGUGAUCGAAAGAUGAAAAGCACUUUGAAAAGAGGGUUAAACAGCACGUGAAAUUGUUAAAAGGGAAGCGCUUAUGACCAGACUUGCGCCCGGUGAAUCACCCAGCUCUCGCGGCUGGGGCACUUUGCCGGCUCAGGCCAGCAUCAGCUCGCUGUCGGGGACAAAAGCUUCGGGAACGUAGCUCUCUUCGGGGAGUGUUAUAGCCCGUUGCACAAUACCCUUCGGCGGGCUGAGGUACGCGCUCCGCAAGG